rnacentral:rRNA from 1 species
AUUGAACGCUGGCGGAAUGCUUUACACAUGCAAGUCGAGCGGCAGCGCGGGGGCAACCCUGGCGGCGAGCGGCGAACGGGUGAGUAACACAUCGGAACGUACCCUGUCGUGGGGGAUAACCAACCGAAAGGUUGGCUAAUACCGCAUACGACCUGAGGGUGAAAGCGGGGGAUCGCAAGACCUCGCGCGAUAGGAGCGGCCGAUGGCAGAUUAGCUAGUUGGUGGGGUAAAGGCUCACCAAGGCGACGAUCUGUAGCGGGUCUGAGAGGACGGCCCGCCACACUGGAACUGAGACACGGUCCAGACUCCUACGGGAGGCAGCAGUGGGGAAUUUUGGACAAUGGGGGCAACCCUGAUCCAGCCAUUCCGCGUGAGUGAAGAAGGCCUUCGGGUUGUAAAGCUCUUUCGGCAGGAACGAAAAGGCUCUCUCUAACAUAGGGGGUCAAUGACGGUACCUGAAGAAGAAGCACCGGCUAACUACGUGCCAGCAGCCGCGGUAA